rnacentral:piRNA from 1 species
UUCCAGAGAGAUUGCAUACCCUCGAUUGU